UAAUCAGAUACCCAAACCACCUCAACUGGCUCCUUGUGACAUGAAGGACCAGUGGCUCCUCUCCGAGCUCCCGCCGGAUGUUACUCACGGUAUCCUAUCUCUAAGUUUGAGCCCAGACGCAUUGACCUUACGGACACAACCCCGCAUUCCAGGCUGCUUCCCACCCGCCUGCAAACCGCCGCACUGCACACUGAAGGGUACACUGGACUUUCCUAUGCGAAAGGAACGGAGAAUUAUACGCCCCACAAUUCAUUGCUGCAGUGAUGCACGGACGUACGAUUAAAUCCGAAGUA